UCUCGGUACUCUUCGGACUUUAUUAUAUGAUCCAGCAUGGCGUCGGUACCUACUACUGACGAAUUAAAGAAACUUAAAGUUGUUGAGUUAAAACAGAAAUUAACAGAGCUUGGAUUAUCUACUCAAGGUUUUCUUAUUUCCCACCUUCAUUGUAUCGGUCAAUAACGAAUGUUUAAAUGGCUAGCACAGCAAAAUAUAUGUAUCAUACGCUUGGCUCUGUACCAUUUUUUGUUAUCACAACACGGGCCAAAAUUCUGCUACGUUCAUAAUUAUCGGUAUCCUUACCCAACCUAACAUUCCAGCAAUUAGUGUCCAAAGUAACAAAAACGUUUUUGUUAUUGUUUCUUUUUCUGAUAUCAACAUAAUCUAAGCCAGGGC
rnacentral:lncRNA from 1 species